GGGCGUAAGCGCGCGCAGGCGGCCUUUUAAGUUGGAUGUGAAAGCCUAUGGCUCAACCAUAGAACUGCAUCCAAAACUAUCAGGCUAGAGUGUGGGAGAGGAAGAUGGAAUUAGUUGUGUAGGGGUAAAAUCCGUAGAGAUAACUAGGAAUACCAAAAGCGAAGGCAAUCUUCUGGAACAUUACUGACGCUGAGGCGCGAAAGCGUGGGGAGCAAACAGGAUUAGAUACCCUGGUAGUCCACGCCCUAAACGAUGAAUGUUAGUCGUCGGGUAGCUAGUCUAUUCGGUGAUGCAGCUAACGCAUUAAACAUUCCGCCUGGGGAGUACGGUCGCAAGAUUAAAACUCAAAGGAAUAGACGGGGACCCGCACAAGUGGUGGAGCAUGUGGUUUAAUUCGAAGAUACGCGAAGAACCUUACCUAGCCUUGACAUAUUUUAGAACACUUUAGAGAUAGAGUGGUGCCUUCGGGAGCUAAUAUACAGGUGCUGCACGGCUGUCGUCAGCUCGUGUCGUGAGAUGUUGGGUUAAGUCCCGCAACGAGCGCAACCCUCGUCACUAGUUACUAACGGUUCGGCCGAGGACUCUAGUGAGACUGCCUUCGCAAGGAGGAGGAAGGUGAGGACGACGUCAAGUCAUCAUGGCCCUUACGGCUAGGGCAACACACGUGCUACAAUGGCCAGGACAAUGAGAAGCGAUACCGCGAGGUGGAGCAAAUCUAUAAACCUGG
rnacentral:rRNA from 1 species